rnacentral:rRNA from 1 species
UGGGGAAUAUUGGACAAUGGGCGAAAGCCUGAUCCAGCAACGCCGCGUGGAGGAUGACGGCCUUCGGGUUGUAAACUCCUGUCAGGUGGAACGAAAAGACAUCGGCUAAUAACCGGAGUCCUUGACGGUACCACCAGAGGAAGCCCCGGCUAACUCCGUGCCAGCAGCCGCGGUAAUACGGAGGGGGCGAGCGUUAUUCGGAAUUAUUGGGCGUAAAGGGCGCGUAGGCCGCCAUGUAAGUCAGGGGUGAAAUCCCUCGGCUCAACCGAGGAACUGCCUCUGAAACUGCAUGGCUUGAGACCGGGAGAGGGUGGUGGAAUUCCCAGUGUAGCGGUGAAAUGCGUAGAUAUUGGGAGGAACACCCGUGGCGAAGGCGGCCACCUGGACCGGUUCUGACGCUGAGGCGCGAAAGUGUGGGGAGCAAACAGGAUUAGAUACCCCCGUAGUCC